rnacentral:misc_RNA from 1 species
UUCAUAGGAUCCUGACAGUUGUAUGAAGUAUUAUGUUAGCUUUUUGCAUGUAAUCAUUUCCUUAAAAAAAAACAAAUUGAUACCAAAGUUGUAUUUAAUGAGCCUUAAUUAAUAUUAUGUAACCCUCCUUCUCUUCUUAUAAAUCUCAUUUUUGUAUAGAGAAUAUUUAUAUAGCAAAGUAUGUACAUUUAUUGUAAUUAUUAAAGAUAUGUAGAAUGAGAAUUCUUUCUAAUGGUAAAAUGAUUAAUUUUAGAUGUCCAGAUUUUUUGAGAAUUUCAUGAAAAUUCAAAUCUUAAUAUUGCAUGACUUAAUUUGUCAGAUGAGCAUGUGAAUGAAAUUUUCUUCUUUGUCUGUUCAUUAAUUAAGUCUUUGUGACACUUCUGAUUGUUAUUCGAGAAAACCAUUUGAUACCUCUUUGUUUUACUAUGCAAUGGUGCUCAGUUAAUAUUGCUUGUCUUAUUACAGGAAGUCUACACCUUUUACAAAGAUCGGUGUCAUUUUAUAUUGUUUACAGAAAUCUGGAUUUGAAUAAAUGUUGUAAAAUC